AUUCCAGCUCCAAUAGCGUAUAUUAAAGUUGUUGCGGUUAAAAAGCUCGUAGUUGGAUCUCGGCGGGCAGGGGGUGGUUCGCUCUUCAGCGCUACUGCCCCGCUUUGCCCGUGUGAUUGGCGGAGGUUUCGGGGUGCUCUUCGUUGAGUGACUCGGAGCGCCGUCAGGUUUACUUUGAAAAAAUUAGAGUGCUCAAAGCAGGCUUUUCACGCUUGAAUAUUCGUGCAUGGAAUAAUGGAAUAGGAACUCGUUUCUAUUUUGUUGGUUUUCGGAAAUCGAGUUAAUGAUUAACAGGGACAAUUGGGGGCAUUAGUAUUCAGACGACAGAGGUGAAAUUCUUGGACCGUCUGAAGACUGACUACUGCGAAAGCAUUUGCCAAGAGUGGUUUCAUUA
rnacentral:rRNA from 1 species